UAUGUGAUCGUCUCUCGCAUAUCAAUAAGCGGAGGAAAAGAAACUAACAAGGAUUCCCCUAGUAACGGCGAGUGAAGCGGGAAGAGCUCAAAUUCGAAAUCUUAAAGGGUUUCCCUUUACGAAUUGUAGUUUAAAGAAGUGUUUUCUGUUGAGGUUUUGGUAAAAGUUCUUUGGAAUAGGACAUCAUAGAGGGUGAGAAUCCCGUAUUUGACCUUUACUUUCAACUUUGUGAUACACUUUCAAAGAGUCGGAUUGUUUGGGAAUGCAGUCCAAAAUGGGUGGUAAAUUUCAUCUAAAGCUAAAUAUUGGCGAGAGACCGAUAGCGAACAAGUACCGUGAGGGAAAGAUGAAAAGAACUUUGAAAAGAGAGUUAAACAGUACGUGAAAUUGUCAGAAGGGAAGCGUUUGACACCAGUGUUGUUUUUCUGAAAAUCAAUUAAAGAACUGUUUAUGCUAAGUUGUUUAGACUUUAUCAGCUAACUGUUUAGUUUUGAGCUUUUCUUUAAUGCACUUUUCAGUUAACAAGUCAACAUCAAUUUCUUUUGCUGUAAAAAAGCUUGAGGAAGGUGGCUUGAGAUUCGUCUUAAGUGUUUAUAGCCUCUUGCCUAUGCAGUCGGAGAGAUUGAGGUCUGCAGCGUAGAUCCUUCGGGGCUAAAUGCAUUUGUGCUAAGUUAUAGCAUUUUAUAGACAACUUGUUGACUAUGAUUUGUCUUGUAGCUUACUCGCUUAUGUUAUUUUACCUACGCUUAGGAUGUUGAGUAGCGACAUACGCAC
rnacentral:rRNA from 1 species